rnacentral:rRNA from 1 species
AACGAACGCUGGCGGCAUGCCUAACACAUGCAAGUCGAACGAGACCUUCGGGUCUAGUGGCGCACGGGUGCGUAACGCGUGGGAAUCUGCCCUUGGGUUCGGAAUAACAGUUGGAAACGACUGCUAAUACCGGAUGAUGACGUAAGUCCAAAGAUUUAUCGCCCAAGGAUGAGCCCGCGUAGGAUUAGCUAGUUGGUGAGGUAAAGGCUCACCAAGGCGACGAUCCUUAGCUGGUCUGAGAGGAUGAUCAGCCACACUGGGACUGAGACACGGCCCAGACUCCUACGGGAGGCAGCAGUGGGGAAUAUUGGACAAUGGGCGAAAGCCUGAUCCAGCAAUGCCGCGUGAGUGAUGAAGGCCUUAGGGUUGUAAAGCUCUUUUACCCGGGAUGAUAAUGACAGUACCGGGAGAAUAAGAGCCGGCUAACUCCGUG